AGGACGAACGCUGGCGGCGUGCUUAACACAUGCAAGUCGAGCGGAAAGGCCUUUCGGGGUACUCGAGCGGCGAACGGGUGAGUAACACGUGAGUAACCUGCCCCCUACUUUGGGAUAACCCUCGGAAACGGGGGCUAAUACCGGAUAUGACUUGGCCCGGCAUCGGGUUUGGUGGAAAGUUUUUCGGUGGGGGAUGGGCUCGCGGCCUAUCAGCUUGUUGGUGGGGUAAUGGCCUACCGAAGGCGACGACGGGUAGCC
rnacentral:rRNA from 1 species